GACAGAGGUGCCAAGCGUUAGGCGGAAUCACUGGGCUUAAAGCGUGUGUAGGCGGAUUGGUAAGUACCUUGUGAAAUCCCACAGCUCAACUGUGGAACUGCUGGGUAUACUGCUUAUCUUGAGCCACUUAGGGGCUGUCGGAACAAAUGGUGGAGCGGUGAAAUGCGCAGAUAUCAGGAGGAACACCGGUGGCGAAGGCGGAUCUCUGGGCCUGUCCUGACGCUGAGGCGCGAAAGCUAGGGGAGCGAACAGG
rnacentral:rRNA from 1 species